AUCAACAAAACUUUCAAAAACAAUUCGCAAAGACUGAUGGGAAAUCAAGAUGGUAGCGCCCAUUUCAAACAUGACUUUUCGUCACAAUUUGUUGCAUAUUCUGAACUAGUGAGUACCAAAGGUGUCAAUUGCACCACAGAUAACCACCGAACAAACACCGAAAGGGGAAAACAACAUCGCCCCUACAAUUUUCUACUUUACCAUCAUAAGUUCGGGUAGUACAGAAGUUAUCAACUCAAUUUUAUCGAUGUGGUCUGUCACAUGGUGGAGAGCUGUUGAUAGCAAUUUAACCAAAUAAUUGAUUAUUGUGCUAGAAUUUAAAUCCGGUAGUUUUUUCAUUAUUAUAUUCUUCGUUUUAUAGUGAAGUUUUACGAUUCGCUAGAAUUGUUUUAGUUCUAGUUAAGUUCGGUAGGAAUGUUUCAGACAGCUUAUUUAUCGACUGUUGGUCACAACUUCUUGGUUUUUCUCAUCAGAUUACAAUAAAUGUUGCUAUUAAUACGCGUAA